CAUAAAAAAACUUAUUGUUGAAAGUGAAUUCGAAGGUAGUGAUUUGGCAAAAAUAUUGUUGAAAGUGAAUUCGCAGGUAGUGAUUAGGCAAAAAUGAAAGUAGGGUAGAGAUUAGAGGGAGGCAGGACCUUUUUCUGGACGUCGGGAUCGGGUGUUUUUAAGCUCGGGAUGUGGGGAUUGAUCCUUACGGGAUCCGGGAAUAUAUUUUUCGAUUUCGGGAUUUUGUGAUAUGAAUUUCUUUAAAUUCUGCAUCCCGGGAUUUCAUGUUUUUAAGGCCGGGAUUUCGGGAUCAGGACCCUCCGACCACCUCUCAAAUUAGC
rnacentral:lncRNA from 1 species